GCAGGUCAGAGUGAACCCCACGUCAUCUUGAAGCACCAAGAAGUGGAGUGUUACUGCUGACGGUCAUAAAAUCUUAAGUCUUCUCCUCAUGGCACACUUAUUUCAGGAGGAAAAAAAGACUGCCUUGGCCAGCCCUGGAGCCUG